CCGGGAUCCCGUACAGAUGCCCGGUUGCCUCUCGAAGCGCAGGCUGCCUCGCUUCAAAGAGUGCAGACCUGGCAAGUUGAUGGACAUUUCAAUACGUUAAGCUUCAGCUGUGAGGCCAAAUCAACGCUAGACAGAGCGCAAAGAGUUGGCAGAAGAAAAAGGGAAAGGGAAGACCAGGAAGGGUUACAAGAAUCAGGGCCCCGUGUUUGUGGGUCUUGCCAUGUCUGAAUUCUGCCUCUGGGUCUGAGAGCUCUGGGAUCGUGGGACUCUUGAAGAGGGAUUCCUGAUGUAGCCAUGCCACUGAGGAUAAGUGGUGUAACUUGGGGGCAUGUUCCUUCCUUGAGUGUACCAUGGGGAUUUCACACAGGCCUCUCCCUUUCAAAAAAUAUUUUGGGACACCAAAUAUUGCUGUACAGUCUCAUUGGAAUGGACCUGCAUGUGGCAGCAAGUCCAUGUCUUAGCUUCUGGUGAAAGAGUUUGUAAACUGAGCUGAUUUAUGAAUAAAUACUACAAAAGUGACUGAUACAGCUAGCCAU